GCACUGGUAGUGCAGUGGUUAAGCACUCAGCUGCUAACUGAAUAGUCGGUGGUUCAAACCCACCAGCUGCU
rnacentral:tRNA from 1 species